rnacentral:rRNA from 1 species
GAUGAACGCUAGCUACAGGCUUAACACAUGCAAGUCGAGGGGAAACGGCAUUGAGUGCUUGCACUCUUUGGACGUCGACCGGCGCACGGGUGAGUAACGCGUAUCCAACCUUCCCAUUACUGUGGGAUAACCUGCCGAAAGGCAGACUAAUACCGCAUAGUCUUCGAUGACGGCAUCAGAUUUGAAGUAAAGAUUUAUCGGUAAUGGAUGGGGAUGCGUCUGAUUAGCUUGUUGGCGGGGUAACGGCCCACCAAGGCUACGAUCAGUAGGGGUUCUGAGAGGAAGGUCCCCCACAUUGGAACUGAGACACGGUCCAAACUCCUACGGGAGGCAGCAGUGAGGAAUAUUGGUCAAUGGACGGAAGUCUGAACCAGCCAAGUAGCGUGCAGGAUGACGGCCCUAUGGGUUGUAAACUGCUUUUGUAUGGGGAUAAAGUUAGGGACGUGUCCCUAUUUGCAGGUACCAUACGAAUAAGGACCGGCUAAUUCCGUGCCAGCAGCCGCGGUAAUACGGAAGGUCCAGGCGUUAUCCGGAUUUAUUGGGUUUAAAGGGAGCGUAGGCUGGAGAUUAAGUGUGUUGUGAAAUGUAGACGCUCAACGUCUGAAUUGCAGCGCAUACUGGUUUCCUUGAGUACGCACAACGUUGGCGGAAUUCGUCGUGUAGCGGUGAAAUGCUUAGAUAUGNCGAAGAACUCCGAUUGCGAAGGCAGCUGACGGGAGCGCAACUGACGCUUAAGCUCGAAGGUGCGGGUAUCAAACAGG